CUGAAGCUUGGUGCUUGCACUGGGUGGAUGAGUGGCGAACGGGUGAGUAAUACGUGAGUAACCUGCCCUUGACUCUGGGAUAAGCCUGGGAAACUGGGUCUAAUACUGGAUAUGACCUCCUGUCGCAUGGUGGGGGGUGGAAAGGGUUUGUACUGGUUGUGGAUGGGCUCACGGCCUAUCAGCUUGUUGGUGGGGUAAUGGCCUACCAAGGCGACGACGGGUAGCCGGCCUGAGAGGGUGACCGGCCACACUGGGACUGAGACACGGCCCAGACUCCUACGGGAGGCAGCAGUGGGGAAUAUUGCACAAUGGGCGCAAGCCUGAUGCAGCGACGCCGCGUGAGGGAUGACGGCCUUCGGGUUGUAAACCUCUUUCAGCACGGAAGAAGCGAAAGUGACGGUACGUGCAGAAGAAGCGCCGGCUAACUACGUGCCAGCAGCCGCGGUAAUACGUAGGGCGCAAGCGUUGUCCGGAAUUAUUGGGCGUAAAGAGCUCGUAGGCGGUUUGUCGCGUCUGCUGUGAAAGCCCGGGGCUUAACCCCGGGUGUGCAGUGGGUACGGGCAGACUUGAGUGCAGUAGGGGAGACUGGAACUCCUGGUGUAGCGGUGAAAUGCGCAGAUAUCAGGAAGAACACCGAUGGCGAAGGCAGGUCUCUGGGCUGUUACUGACGCUGAGGAGCGAAAGCAUGGGGAGCGAACAGGAUUAGAUACCCUGGUAGUCCAUGCCGUAAACGUUGGGCACUAGGUGUGGGGGACAUUCCACGUUUUCCGCGCCGUAGCUAACGCAUUAAGUGCCCCGCCUGGGGAGUACGGCCGCAAGGCUAAAACUCAAAGGAAUUGACGGGGGCCCGCACAAGCGGCGGAGCAUGCGGAUUAAUUCGAUGCAACGCGAAGAACCUUACCAAGGCUUGACAUACACCGGAUCGGCUCAGAGAUGGGUUUUCCUCCUUGUGGGGCUGGUGUACAGGUGGUGCAUGGUUGUCGUCAGCUCGUGUCGUGAGAUGUUGGGUUAAGUCCCGCAACGAGCGCAACCCUCGUUCUAUGUUGCCAGCACGUGAUGGUGGGGACUCAUAGGAGACUGCCGGGGUCAACUCGGAGGAAGGUGGGGAUGACGUCAAAUCAUCAUGCCCCUUAUGUCUUGGGCUUCACGCAUGCUACAAUGGCCAGUACAAUGGGUUGCGAUACCGUGAGGUGGAGCUAAUCCCAAAAAGCUGGUCUCA
rnacentral:rRNA from 1 species